rnacentral:rRNA from 1 species
CCUACGGGGGGCAGCAGUGGGCAAUAUUGGACAAUGGGGGGAACCCUGAUCCAGCCAUGCCGCGUGUGUGAAGAAGGCCCUCGGGUUGUAAAGCACUUUCAGUGAGGAAGAACGCCUGGUGGUUAAUACCCAUCAGGAAAGACAUCACUCACAGAAGAAGCACCGGCUAACUCCGUGCCAGCAGCCGCGGUAAUACGGAGGGUGCGAGCGUUAAUCGGAAUUACUGGGCGUAAAGCGCGCGUAGGUGGCUUGAUAAGCCGGUUGUGAAAGCCCCGGGCUCAACCUGGGAACGGCAUCCGGAACUGUCAAGCUAGAGUGCAGGAGAGGAAGGUAGAAUUCCCGGUGUAGCGGUGAAAUGCGUAGAGAUCGGGAGGAAUACCAGUGGCGAAGGCGGCCUUCUGGACUGACACUGACACUGAGGUGCGAAAGCGUGGGUAGCAAACAGGAUUAGAUACCCUAGUAGUC